CCCUGUAUCGAAAGGUGGUCAAGGCGUCUGGUUGCCUGGUCAUUUAAUAAAUACAGGAACAUGAAGCUGUGAGCCUUUCCCUGUGUUUGAAGGAUCCUCCGUUCCUUUUGAACCCUGGCGCUCUCAGACA
rnacentral:snoRNA from 1 species